AGUAAUGUAUGGGGGUCGUGCCCGAUAGAGGGGGAUAACUACUGGAAACGGUGGCUAAUACCGCAUAAUGUCUACGGACCAAAGCAGGGGCUCUUCGGACCUUGCACUAUCGGAUGAACCCAUAUGGGAUUAGCUAGUAGGUGGGGUAAAGGCUCACCUAGGCGACGAUCUCUAGCUGGUCUGAGAGGAUGAUCAGCCACACUGGGACUGAGACACGGCCCAG
rnacentral:rRNA from 1 species